rnacentral:rRNA from 1 species
UCGCCGCCGACGACGUCGCGAGAAGUCCACUGAACCUUAUCAUUUAGAGGAAGGAGAAGUCGUAACAAGGUUUCCGUAGGUGAACCUGCGGAAGGAUCAUUGUCGACACCUGCAAAGCAGAGCGACCCGUGAACCGUUUUUCAACUCCCGGGAUACCGGGGGGGCCCUGUCCGCCCGGUAGCCCGAAAGCUCCGGACUCUAGGGGUGCAACCCACCCCAGGGUACGGAGCUCCAAACAAACCCCGGCGCGCGAAGCGCCAAGGUACUCCAACGAUAGGGCAUGCGCCCGUAGCCCUGGGUUCCAGUGUGCUCGGGCUGCUGUUCAACGUCAUAAAGUCUAAACGACUNNNGUGUGAAUUGCAGAAUCCCGUGAACCAUCGAGUCUUUGAACGCAAGUUGCGCCCGAAGCCUUGGCUGAGGGCACGUCUGCCUGGGUGUCACGCAUCGCGUUGCCUCCAAACCCUUCACCCUUCGGACGUUGCGGUGAUGGUCUGGAUGCGGAAGCUGGCCUCCCGCGGCCGCGAGCCACGGAUGGCCCAAACACGUGCUAGGGAAGCGAAGCGCCACGGCAUUCGGUGGUUGAUCCAAGCCCCAGAAGCAGUGCCGGCGGUGGCCGCGUCCGUCCCUAGCCCACGACCCUAAUCGUUAACCAACGCGACCUCAGGUCAGGCGGGGCUACCCGCUGAGUUUAAGCAUAUCAAUAAGCGGAGG